rnacentral:tRNA from 1 species
AUUGGGGUGGCAGAGCCAGGAAAAUUUGCAAAAGGCCUAAACCCUUUAACCAGGGGUUCAACUCCCCUCCCCAAUU